UCCCAUUUUUGGGGUCCAAAAAUCUUCAUUUUUUAGGUCCAAAAACUCCAAAGUUUUUCUCCCAAAAAAUCCCAAUUUUGGGCCCAAAAUUUUUUCAUUUUCAGAUGGGAAAAAAAUCCCAAUUUUUGUUCAAAAACCUCCAAUUUUUUUUAACCAAAACCCCAAAAUUCGCCGUUUCUCCCCCGAAUCUUUUUCCCACGCUCCCCCCUCAUUUGCAUUUUUGGCCCCUCCCCCCUUUUUAACCCAAAAUUCGCCGAAUUCGCCCCAAAUUUCGCUCCUGGGGCGCCCCCUGGUGGAAAACACCCCAAAAAAGCCAAAUUUGGGGUUUUUUGCCUCAGUUUCCCUGGGAUUUUAAAGGGGUGGGGCCACGUGGAGGCCACGCCCACAUUGGCCACGCCCACCCACGUGACCACGCCCAUUUCCCCCCUCUCCCCACCCCAAAUUUGACUAAAAUUUGAAUUUUUUCGAUGAUUUUGGGCCAAAUUUUUGGGUUUUAAAAAAAAUUUUCCCGGGUGUUUCCCCUGCUUAGGCCACGCCCAUUUUACCCCUAAGCCACGCCCCCUUUCCCCAAAUUUCCUGCCCCCCAAAAUUCCCAAAAAAAUCACAUUUUAAACACAAAUUUUUCUGGUUUUAACCCAAUUUUCCCCACCUCUGCCACGCCCCCUUAGGCCACGCCCUCUCCUUUAAACCACGCCCCCUUCCCCUUCAAACCCCAAAAAACCCCAAAUUUUCCUCAUUUUCCCCCCAAAAAUCCCCAAAUUUUCCUCAGUUUCCCCCAAUUUUUCCUCAGUUUCCCCCCCAAAACCCCAAAUUUCCUCUGUUUCCCUGUUUUUUCCUCAGUUUACCCCUAAAACUCCAAUUUUUCCUCAUUUUCCCCCCCAAACCCUGAUUUUUCCUCAGUUUCCCUCAUUUUUUCCUCACUUUACCCCCAAAGAACCAAGUUUUCCUCAGUUUCCCUCUAAAAAACCCCAAUUUUUCUCAUUUUACCCCCAAAAAAACCCAAACUUUUCUCAUUUUCCCCCAGAAACCCAAAUUUUCCUGUUUCCCUCCAAAAAAACAAAUUUUCUUCAGCUUCCACCAAUUUUUCCUCAGUUUCCCCCGUUUUUUCCUCAGUUUCCCCCCAAAAAACCAAUUUUUCUUCAGUUUCUCCCCCAAAACCACAAUUUUUCCUCAGUUUCCCCACUGUGCCUCAGUUUCCCCAAUUUUUCCUCAGUUGCUCCCCCAAACCCCAUAUUUUCCUCAGUUUCCCUCCAAAAACCUGAAUUUUCUUCAGUUUCCCCAAUUUUUCCUCAGUUUCCCCAUUUUUUCCUCAGUUUCCUCCAUUUUUUCCUCAGUUUCCCCCCAAAACAACAAAUUUUCCUCAGUUUCCCCAAAUUUCCUCAGUUUCCCCCAACAUUUCCUCCCUUUCCCCGCCGUGCCUCAGUUUCCCCAAUUAUUCCUCAGUUUCCCCAAUCUUUCCUCAGUUUCCCCAAUUUUUCCUCAGUUUCCCCCACCAUUUCCUCCCUUUCCCCGCCGUGCCUCAGUUUCCCGAAACUUUUCUCAGUUUCCCCAAACUUUCCUCAGUUUCCCCCACCAUUUCCUCCCUUUCCCCGCCGUGCCUCAGUUCCCCCAACUUUUCCUCAGUUUCCCCAAACUUUCCUCAGUUUCCCCAAUCUUUCCUCAGUUUCCCCCAAUUUUUCCUCCCUUUCCCCGCCGUGCCUCAGUUUCCCCAAUUUUUCCUCAGUUUCCCCAAUUUUUCCUCAGUUUCCCCAAUUUUUCCUCAGUUUCCCCAAACUUUCCUCAGUUUUCCCCAAUUUUUCCUCAGUUUCCCCAAUCUUUCCUCAGUUUCCCCCACCAUUUCCUCCCUUUCCCCGCCAUGCCUCAGUUUCCCCAAUCUUUCCUCAGUUUCCCCCACCAUUUCCUCCCUUCCCCCGCCGUGCCUCAGUUUCCCCCGCCCCGCUCAGCCCCAGCCGGGCGGCCCCGGCGACCAGGCCCGGCGGUACCAGCCGCGGUAGGUGAGGGCCCAGGCGGCCCAGCCCAGCGCGGCGCCGGCGGCGUUGCGGGCCCACGUGUGGCGGUAGCGCAGCGUCGCCACCAGCAGGAGGUGCCACGUCAGCAGCAGCAGCAGCGCCAGCAGGUACAGCACCGACAGCGCCGCCGGCGGCGCCUCGCCGCGGCCGCCGGCAAGAUGGCCGCCGGCGGAGGGCGGCGGCGAGGCGAGGAAAUGGCGGACGGAGGGGUCAACAUGGCCGCCGGAGGGGUCAACAUGGCCGCUGGGGUGGGGGAAGAAGAAGGCGGGAUCAACAUGGCGGCUGGAAUCAAAAUGGCGGCCGGAAUCAAAAUGGCCUCCAGAAUAAAAAUGGCGUCCAGAAUCAAAAUGGCGGCCGGGAUGGAAAUGGUGGCUGGAUUCAAAAUGGCCGCCGGAAUCAAAAUGGCCGCCAGAAUCAAAAUGGCGUCCAGAAUCAAAAUGGCGGCCGGGAUGGAAAUGGUGGCUGGAUUCAAAAUGGCCGCCGGAAUCAAAAUGGCGGCCGGGAUGGAAAUGGUGGCUGGAUUCAAAAUGGCGGCCAGGAUCAAAAUGGCCGCCACGUCUGUCUUCAAAAUGGCGGCCGGAAUCAAAGUGGCUGCCAGAAUCAAAAUGGUGUCUGGAUUCAAAAUGGCGGCCGGGUUCAAAAUGGCCGCCCCAAAAUGGCCGCCCCCCAAGAUGGCCGCUGGGGUACUCAGCAGGCCCCGCCCACUCUGACGUCACUUCCCGUCCCCACCCCUCAUUUGCAUGAGGCUCCGCACACUCGAAGCCGAUUGGUCGGGGAGAGCCGCCCGGUCGCCAUAUUGGGCGUGGCCAUGCCCACGCCGCCAUCUUGGAUUCUUCUUCUUCUAGGUCGUGUCCGGCCGCCAUCUUGGGUUCGGCGGCCAUCUUGGGUUCGGGCGCCGUCUUGAACCAAGGCAGCAUCCUGUACCAGGCCGCCAUCUUGGACACGGCGGACAUCUUGGAUUCCUCAACCACCCUCCCUGCGGCGGCCAUCUUGGACGCGUCCGCCACCUUGGAUGUGUCAGCCAUCUUGUAUGGGUCGGCCAUCUUGGAUGCGUCAGCCAUCUUGGAUGGCUCGACCAUCUUGUACCCAGUGGCCAUCUUGUACGGGUCAGCCAUCUUGUACCUGGCAGCCAUCUUGGAUGUGUCCGCCAUCUUGUACGGGUCGUCCAUCUUGUAUGGCUCAGCCAUCCUGUACCUGGCGGCCAUCUUGUACGGGUCAGCCAUCUUGGACUGCUCUACCAUCCUGUACCCGGCGGCCAUCUUGUACGGGUCAGCCAUCUUGUACGGGUCGUCCAUCCUGUACCCGGCGGCCAUCUUGUACCCGCCGGCCAUCUUGUACGCGUCGUCCGCCUUCCGCCCGGCGGCCAUCUUGCCCAGCCCGUAGAGCCUCCUCCCCAGCGCCGCCGCCUCCUCGGCCAGCCCCAACCCACAAUGCACCAGGGCGAAGGCCUGGGGGGCGGGGCCGAAGCCCUGCCAGCGGUGCCCCGCCCCCCGGCAGGCGGCGGGGUCUCCCAGGGGCAGCAGCAGGGUCCCGCCGCCGGGGGCGGGGCUGGUGCAGGUGCCCGUGGCCGCCUCCA
rnacentral:lncRNA from 1 species